AACGAACGCUGGCGGCAUGCCUAACACAUGCAAGUCGAACGAGAUCUUCGGGUCUAGUGGCGCACGGGUGCGUAACGCGUGGGAAUCUGCCCUUUGGUUCGGAAUAACAGUUGGAAACGACUGCUAAUACCGGAUGAUGACGAAAGUCCAAAGAUUUAUCGCCAGAGGAUGAGCCCGCGUAGGAUUAGCUAGUUGGUGUGGUAAAGGCGCACCAAGGCGACGAUCCUUAGCUGGUCUGAGAGGAUGAUCAGCCACACUGGGACUGAGACACGGCCCAGACUCGUCCGGGAGGCAGCAGUGGGGAAUAUUGGACAAUGGGCGAAAGCUUGAUCCAGCAAUGCCGCGUGAGUGAUGAAGGCCUUAGGGUUGUAAAGCUCUUUUACCCGGGAUGAUAAUGACAGUACCGGGAGAAUAAGCUCCGGCUAACUCCGUGCCAGCCGCCGCCGUAA
rnacentral:rRNA from 1 species